CAGGCCUUGACAUCCUAUGAACUUUCCAGAGAUGGAUGGGUGCCUUCGGGAACAUUGAGACAGGUGCUGCAUGGCUGUCGUCAGCUCGUGUCGUGAGAUGUUGGGUUAAGUCCCGUAACGAGCGCAACCCUUGUCUCUAGUUGCUACGAAAGGGCACUCUAGAGAGACUGCCGGUGACAAACCGGAGGAAGGUGGGGAUGACGUCAAGUCCUCAUGGCCCUUAUGGGUAGGGCUUCACACGUCAUACAAUGGUACAUACAGAGGGCCGCCAACCCGCGAGGGGGAGCUAAUCCCAGAAAGUGUAUCGUAGUCCGGAUUGUAGUCUGCAACUCGACUGCAUGAAGUUGGAAUCGCUAGUAAUCGCGGAUCAGCAUGUCGCGGUGAAUACGUUCCC
rnacentral:rRNA from 1 species